rnacentral:rRNA from 1 species
AAUAUUGGACAAUGGGCGCAAGCCUGAUCCAGCCAUACCGCGUGGGUGAAGAAGGCCUUCGGGUUGUAAAGCCCUUUUGUUGGGAAGGAAAUCCUGUCGAUUAAUACUCGGUGGAGAUGACGGUACCCAAAGAAUAAGCACCGGCUAACUUCGUGCCAGCAGCCGCGGUAAUACGAAGGGUGCAAGCGUUACUCGGAAUUACUGGGCGUAAAGCGUGCGUAGGUGGUGGUUUAAGUCUGCUGUGAAAGCCCUGGGCUCAACCUGGGAAUUGCAGUGGAUACUGGAUCACUAGAGUGUGGUAGAGGGAUGCGGAACUUCUGGUGUAGCAGUGAAAUGCGUAGAGAUCAGAAGGAACAUCCGUGGCGAAGGCGGCAUCCUGGGCCAACACUGACACUGAGGCACGAAAGCGUGGGGAGCAAAC